rnacentral:tRNA from 1 species
GGCUUGAUAGUUUAAAAAAAAAUACUAAAUUGCAAAUUUAGGGAUGUAGUUAAUACUCAAGCUU